rnacentral:rRNA from 1 species
UGAUGGAUAGUAUGAAUGGUAUAACGAGUAUAACACUGUCUCAGAUAAAAAUCUUAUAAAAUUAGAAUAAUAGUAAAGAUACUAUUUUAAACUGUAAGACGAGAAGACCCUAUAGAGCUUAACUAUAACNNUUUAAAAAGUUGAUAAACUAGUUUAUCAAUAAAAAGAGAUAGGUAGUUUAGUUGGGGCGACUACUUUCUAAAACUAACGAAAGUAAACAAGAAUUAAUUAAAAAAUUUACUGUUUAAUUUAUGAAUUUAACAGUUAUUAUAAUAGGUAAUAAUGACCCGUUAAUAAUUGAUAAUAGUAUUAACGAUCAAUAAAUAAAAGCUACCUUAGGGAUAACAGGAUAAUUUUGUUCUAGAGAUCAAAUCGAAAACAAAGUUUGUCACCUCUAUGUUGAAUUAAGACAUCCUAAAAGCGCAGAAGCUUUUAAGGGUAGGUCUGUUCGACCUNUAAAGUCUUACAUGAUUU